GGUUAAGCGACUAAGCGUACACGGUGGAUGCCCUGGCAGUCAGAGGCGAUGAAGGGCGUGCUAAUCUGCGAUAAGCGCCGGUAAGGUGAUAUGAACCGUUAUAACCGGCGAUACCCGAAUGGGGAAACCCAGUGUGAUUCGUCACACUAUCAUUAACUGAAUCCAUAGGUUAAUGAGGCGAACCGGGGGAACUGAAACAUCUAAGUACCCCGAGGAAAAGAAAUCAAGAAUAUGGGGGGACCAUCCUCCAAGGCUAAAUACUCCUGACUGACCGAUAGUGAACCAGUACCGUGAGGGAAAGGCGAAAAGAACCCCGGCGAGGGGAGUGAAAAAGAACCUGAAACCGUGUACGUACAAGCAGUGGGAGCCCCACCACUAAGCCAGUGGUGAACUCCACAUCCGCAUCCUUUGCUGAGGAUACGGUUAACGGAGCGAAAGCGACGUUCAACCGCAAAACAAGCAGAGGGGGCUUAGUGGUGGGGUGACUGCGUACCUUUUGUAUAAUGGGUCAGCGACUUAUAUUCUGUAGCAAGGUUAACCGWAUAGGGGAGCCGGAGGGAAACCGAGUCUUAAYYGGGCGUUAAGUUGCAGGGUAUAGACCCGAAACCCGGUGAUCUAGCCAUGGGCAGGUUGAAGGUUGGGUAACACUAACUGGAGGACCGAACCGACUAAUGUUGAAAAAUUAGCGGAUGACCUGUGGCUGGGGGUGAAAGGCCAAUCAAACCGGGAGAUAGCUGGUUCUCCCCGAAAGCUAUUUAGGUAGCGCCUCGUGAAUUCAUCUCCGGGGGUAGAGCACUGUUUCGGCUAGGGGGCCAUCCCGGCUUACCAACCCGAUGCAAACUGCGAAUACCGGAGAAUGUUAUCACGGGAGACACACGGCGGGUGCUAACGUCCGUCGUGAAGAGGGAAACAACCCAGACCGCCAGCUAAGGUCCCAAAGUCAUGGUUAAGUGGGAAACGAUGUGGGAAGGCCCAGACAGCCAGGAUGUUGGCUUAGAAGCAGCCAUCAUUUAAAGAAAGCGUAAUAGCUCACUGGUCGAGUCGGCCUGCGCGGAAGAUGUAACGGGGCUAAACCAUGCACCGAAGCUGCGGCAGCGAACGUAUCACCCAAGACAACUUUACGGAGUUGACGAUUGACGGAGCGAAGCGACGUCAAAGCGUUCAUUAAAGUCGAGUUGGCUUAGGGAUACGUUCGUUGGGUAGGGGAGCGUUCUGUAAGCCUGUGAAGGUGUGUCGUGAGGCAUGCUGGAGGUAUCAGAAGUGCGAAUGCUGACAUAAGUAACGAUAAAGCGGGUGAAAAGCCCGCUCGCCGGAAGACCAAGGGUUCCUGUCCAACGUUAAUCGGGGCAGGGUGAGUCGACCCCUAAGGCGAGGCCGAAAGGCGUAGUCGAUGGGAAACGGGUUAAUAUUCCCGUACUUGGUGUUACUGCGAAGGGGGGACGGAGAAGGCUAUGUUGGCCGGGCGACGGUUGUCCCGGUUUAAGCGUGUAGGUGUGUGUUCCAGGUAAAUCCGGUUCACUUUAACACUGAGGCGUGACGACGAGGCACUACGGUGCUGAAGCAACAAAUGCCCUGCUUCCAGGAAAAGCCUCUAAGCAUCAGGUAACAYSAAAUCGUACCCCAAACCGACACAGGUGGUCAGGUAGAGAAUACCAAGGCGCUUGAGAGAACUCGGGUGAAGGAACUAGGCAAAAUGGUGCCGUAACUUCGGGAGAAGGCACGCUGACACGUAGGUGAAGUGAUUUACUCAUGGAGCUGAAGUCAGUCGAAGAUACCAGCUGGCUGCAACUGUUUAUUAAAAACACAGCACUGUGCAAACACGAAAGUGGACGUAUACGGUGUGACGCCUGCCCGGUGCCGGAAGGUUAAUUGAUGGGGUCAGCGCAAGCGAAGCUCCUGAUCGAAGCCCCGGUAAACGGCGGCCGUAACUAUAACGGUCCUAAGGUAGCGAAAUUCCUUGUCGGGUAAGUUCCGACCUGCACGAAUGGCGUAAUGAUGGCCAGGCUGUCUCCACCCGAGACUCAGUGAAAUUGAACUCGCUGUGAAGAUGCAGUGUACCCGCGGCAAGACGGAAAGACCCCGUGAACCUUUACUAUAGCUUGACACUGAACAUUGAGCCUUGAUGUGUAGGAUAGGUGGGAGGCUUUGAAGUGUGGACGCCAGUCUGCAUGGAGCCGACCUUGAAAUACCACCCUUUAAUGUUUGAUGUUCUAACGUGGACCCGUWAYCCGGGUUGCGGACAGUGUCUGGUGGGUAGUUUGACUGGGGCGGUCUCCUCCUAAAGAGUAACGGAGGAGCACGAAGGUUGGCUAAUCCUGGUCGGACAUCAGGAGGUUAGUGCAAUGGCAUAAGCCAGCUUGACUGCGAGCGUGACGGCGCGAGCAGGUGCGAAAGCAGGUCAUAGUGAUCCGGUGGUUCUGAAUGGAAGGGCCAUCGCUCAACGGAUAAAAGGUACUCCGGGGAUAACAGGCUGAUACCGCCCAAGAGUUCAUAUCGACGGCGGUGUUUGGCACCUCGAUGUCGGCUCAUCACAUCCUGGGGCUGAAGUAGGUCCCAAGGGUAUGGCUGUUCGCCAUUUAAAGUGGUACGCGAGCUGGGUUUAGAACGUCGUGAGACAGUUCGGUCCCUAUCUGCCGUGGGCGCUGGAGAACUGAGGGGGGCUGCUCCUAGUACGAGAGGACCGGAGUGGACGCAUCACUGGUGUUCGGGUUGUCAUGCCAAUGGCACUGCCCGGUAGCUAAAUGCGGAAGAGAUAAGUGCUGAAAGCAUCUAAGCACGAAACUUGCCCCGAGAUGAGUUCUCCCUGAGACUUAGAGUCUCCUGAAGGAACGUUGAAGACGACGACGUUGAUAGGCCGGGUGUGUAAGCGCAGCGAUGCGUUGAGCUAACCGGUACUAAUGAACCGUGAGGCUUAACCUU
rnacentral:rRNA from 1 species